GGUUGUGGCUCAAUGGUAGAGUACUUGCCUAGCACAUGUGAAGCACUGGGUUCAAUUCUCAGCACCA
rnacentral:tRNA from 1 species